ensembl:snRNA LOC120093318 U7 small nuclear RNA
AAGUGUUACAGCUCUUUUAGAAUUUGUCUAGCAGGUUUUCUGAAAAAAAAAGGAAGCUGUA